UACUGUUGAUACGUCUUUUUCUCAAAAG
rnacentral:piRNA from 1 species